rnacentral:rRNA from 1 species
CAGCAGCCGCGGUAAUACGUAGGUGGCAAGCGUUGUCCGGAAUUAUUGGGCGUAAAGGGCUCGCAGGCGGUUUCUUAAGUCUGAUGUGAAAGCCCCCGGUUCAACCGGGGAGGGUCAUUGGAAAUUGGGGAAUUUGAGUGCAGAAGAGGAGAGUGGAAUUCCACGUGUAGCGGUGAAAUGCGUAGAGAUGUGGAGGAACCCAGUGGCGAAGGCGAUUUUCUGGUCUGUAACUGACGCUGAGGAGCGAAAGCGUGGGGAGCGAACAGGAUUAGAUACCCUGGUAGUCCACGCCGUAAACGAUGAGUGCUAAGUGUUAGGGGGUUUCCGCCCCUUAGUGCUGCAGCUAACGCAUUAAGCACUCCGCCUGGGGAGUACGGUCGCAAGACUGAAACUCAAA